AAGUCGAACGGUAACAGGGGAGCUUGCUCCCGCUGACGAGUGGCGAACGGGUGAGUAAUGCAUCGGAACGUACCGAGUAAUGGGGGAUAACUAUCCGAAAGGAUGGCUAAUACCGCAUACGAUCUUAGGAUGAAAGUGGGGGACCUUCGGGCCUCACGUUAUUCGAGCGGCCGAUGCCUGAUUAGCUAGUUGGUAGGGUAAAAGCCUACCAAGGCUACGAUCAGUAGCGGGUCUGAGAGGAUGAUCCGCCACACUGGGACUGAGACACGGCCCAGACUCCUACGGGAGGCAGCAGUGGGGAAUUUUGGACAAUGGGGGCAACCCUGAUCCAGCCAUGCCGCGUGUCUGAAGAAGGCCUUCGGGUUGUAAAGGACUUUUGUUAGGGAGGAAAAUUUAUCCAUUAAUACUGGGUAAAGCUGACAGUACCUAAAGAAUAAGCACCGGCUAACUACGUGCCAGCAGCCGCGGUAAUACGUAGGGUGCAAGCGUUAAUCGGAAUUACUGGGCGUAAAGCGAGCGCA
rnacentral:rRNA from 1 species